GGGGUUAUAGCUCAGUUGGUAGAGCACUGCAAUGGCAUUGCAGGGGUCAGCGGUUCAAAUCCGCUUAGCUCCA
rnacentral:tRNA from 1 species